GGUACAUGGUGGUGUGUGCUUGCUUUACUUGCCUGCACGCUGAGCUACCUAGCCGGCCGGCUAUAAAUCUCUCUGUGCACUGUGCAUGAUCCCAUCGUCUUCUUCCCCAGCUAGCUACCUCUCUCAUCGCAGCUCGAUCGAUCGAUCGAUUGAUCUGUAGCUUCUUGGAUUUCUCCAUCAGAGUGGUUGUAAGUCAAGAUAGCCAAGAAACCCUACUGUGCUUUUUUUUCUGUGAAGAAGCGAGAGGAGGGAGAUGAUGAAGAGGAUGGUGGUACUGAGGCGGUGCCAGCC
rnacentral:lncRNA from 1 species